rnacentral:rRNA from 1 species
GACGAACGCUGGCGGCGUGCCUAAUACAUGCAAGUCGAACGCAGUGGGGACGGGGGAGUAACACGUGGGUAACCUCCCAUCAGAGGGGAUAACACUUGGAAACAGGUGCUAAACCGGUACUGAUGGAUGAACCCGCGGGGCAUUGGCUAGUUGGUGGGGUAACGGCGCACCAAGGCCACGAUGCAUAGGCGGGCUGAGAGGGUGAGCGGCCACACUGGGACUGAGAGGCGGCCCAGACUCCUACGAGAGGCAGCAGUAGGGAAUCUGCGGCAAUGGACGAAAGUCUGACCGAGCAACGCCGCGUGAGUGAAGAAGGUUUUCGGAUCGUAAAACUCUGUUGUUAGAGAAGCGGUAGCUAACCAGAAAGCCACGGCUAACUACGUGCCAGCAGCCGCGGUAAUUC